AACGAACGCUGGCGGCAUGCCUAACACAUGCAAGUCGAACGAGACCUUCGGGUCUAUUGGCGCACGGGUGCGUAACGCGUGGGAACCUGCCCUUAGGUUCGGAAUAACUCCCCGAAAGGGGUGCUAAUACCGGAUAAUGUCUUCGGACCAAAGAUUUAUCGCCUUUGGAUGGGCCCGCGUUGGAUUAGCUAGUUGGUAGGGUAAAAGCCUACCAAGGCGACGAUCCAUAGCUGGUCUGAGAGGAUGAUCAGCCACACUGGGACUGAGACACGGCCCAGACCCCUACGGGAGGCAGCAGUGGGGAAUAGUGGACCAUGGGCGAAAGCCUGAUCCAGCAAUGCCGCGUGAGUGAUGAAGGCCUUAGGGUUGUAAAGCUCUUUUACCCGGGAUGAUAAUGACAGUACCGGGAGAAUAAGCUCCGGCUAACUCCGUG
rnacentral:rRNA from 1 species